rnacentral:rRNA from 1 species
AUUGAACGCUGGCGGCAGGCUUAACACAUGCAAGUCGAGCGGGGUGAUGGUGCUUGCACUAUCACUUAGCGGCGGACGGGUGAGUAAUGCUUAGGAAUCUGCCUAUUAGUGGGGGACAACAUCUCGAAAGGGAUGCUAAUACCGCAUACGUCCUACGGGAGGAAGCAGGGGACCACUUGUGACCUUGCGCUAAUAGAUGAGCCUAAGUCGGAUUAGCUAGUUGGUGGGGUAAAGGCCUACCAAGGCGACGAUCUGUAGCGGGUCUGAGAGGAUGAUCCGCCACACUGGGACUGAGACACGGCCCAGACUCCUACGGGAGGCAGCAGUGGGGAAUAUUGGACAAUGGGGGGAACCCUGAUCCAGCCAUGCCGCGUGUGUGAAGAAGGCCUUAUGGUUGUAAAGCACUUUAAGCGAGGAGGAGGCUCUUUUGGUUAAUACCCAAGAUGAGUGGACGUUACUCGCAGAAUAAGCACCGGCUAACUCUGUGCCAGCCGCCGCCGUAA